rnacentral:antisense_RNA from 1 species
CUUGACCGAACCGAGCCACAGUGGGCGGUCCGGAGGCCGCUCGCCGUACGCCGCGAUGACCGCCUGCGCCUC